GCUGUUUGGAGGGAUGGUUGGGGUCUGUUUAACUAUCCUUCGCACUUCAAGCUCGUUGGCGAUCUGCGCCGCGACGCCGAUGGUGACCAGGAUCAUAAUUACAGCGAACACGAAGCGUCACUCGCCAUUCGCUGAUUAGAAGUGCCAGGUUGGCCAGUGUAGAAGGCAUCCACCGCCGACGCUGCUUGUAAAACUCGUCAAAGUUCAUGGGACAGUACGUGACAUCUUCUGCGGCUGCGCAGUACAUCAAACGCCAGCCCGCCUGAACCAUUAGCGUGCACAUCCAGCGGUCUUCGCCUGUAUGGUAUGCGCCAACGAUCAGAUAAAAUUAUGCUCUGAAGUUAAUGUAAGGGGAAUAGUGUUUUGGUGCCUACUUACGAGAACUUUUCUAACAAUAGUAGAAAUUAGGAUGGCACAAAAGCAAACGUCUGUCUUGAUCAUUUAUAUUGAAAUGAUAAGAAACUCAUUAUCAAAAUAUUCAUAUGGAAUCUAAUAUAAUAUUGGAAAAUUAAAAAGAAAAAAAUAAGAGAAAAUGAACAAA